rnacentral:rRNA from 1 species
CCUACGGGAGGCAGCAGUGAGGAAUAUUGGUCAAUGGGCGCGAGCCUGAACCAGCCAAGUAGCGUGAAGGAUGACUGCCCUAUGGGUUGUAAACUUCUUUUAUAAGGGAAUAAAGUGAAGCAUGUGUACUUCUUUGCAUGUACUUUAUGAAUAAGGAUCGGCUAACUCCGUGCCAGCAGCCGCGGUAAUACGGAGGAUCCGAGCGUUAUCCGGAUUUAUUGGGUUUAAAGGGAGCGUAGGUGGGUUGUUAAGUCAGUUGUGAAAGUUUGCGGCUCAACCGUAAAAUUGCAAUUGAUACUGGCAGCCUUGAGUACAGUAGAGGUAGGCGGAAUUCGUGGUGUAGCGGUGAAAUGCUUAGAUAUCACGAAGAACUCCGAUUGCGAAGGCAGCCUGCUGGACUGCCACUGACGUUGAUGCUCGAAAGUGUGGGUAUCAAACAGGAUUAGAUACCCUUGUAGUC